GGCAGAUUUAACAUGGAGGAAGGUCAGUAUAUGAAGAUCUAUUGACUCGACAAAACUUUACUGACAUUGGCAAUGAGCUAGGAACUCUGCUAGUCACUGAAGAUGCAGAGGAAAUAAACAGAUGUCAAAACAAAUGAGAGAAGCCAGGAAGAGAGUGAACAUUUGAGGACGAAAUUUCAUUUGUACCACUCACAGCCAGUGAAGCACAGCUAAUUAAUGACAUCGGAAAGAACAUUAGUAUCUGCCUUGGUUUGGUAACUGGGAAGAAAGAGGUCGUCAGGGACACUGAAUCCUUCAGUCCAACUGUUCAUCCAACUGUGUGCUCAGCAGGUGUGUCUAGAGACGGGCUCCAUGGACAGAUUACUCAUUAGUAUCAGAAACUGGGAGGCGGGAGCCAGAAAAGGAAUAAGUAAAAGUAUUCCUUCUUUCCCUGAGGGGAGCUAGGAGCCAAGACGAGAGUCCAAUGAACACAGAGGCCAUGGCCCUUCUGUGUCCACUGGAGGGCCUGAACAUCUACAGAGCUGGUAUCACCAUUUGCAGAGUGGUCACCCACAAAAAUGAGGGCCCAGGGCCCAGAGAUCACACUGGAGCACAGAGUGAAACUUGCUCUGAUGAAAUGCACAGGGCUUUGAAGAAUUUGCUUUGCAAUUUGAAUAAUUUUCAUGUUGUUUAAAAAGUAUUUUUUGGUAAUAUUUCUCAUAAAGGCAGAUUAGUAAUGAAAGGCACAUGUUUCUCUUGGUUCUUUCAUGUUGUCUUGUAAAUGUUGGGUCUUCAGAAGUUGUAUUAUUUUUGUCUCUGCUUUGGAGGCCUGCUGUUUCCUUAAUUGAUGUGGUAGCNNNNNNCUGGCUUUAUUCCCAUCGUCACAUAAUCAUUAUUUUCCAUAUCUCAGUUGUUGCUCCAUUUCAUUAACUUUUUCAGAAAAUUGCUCCCUAUUUAUCUAUUUAUAGGUUUGGAAUGCGUGUAGUCUUUGUCCAAAACCAGUAUGAUUUCCUUUAUCUUCUUGCUUUUGAUCUUUAAUUUUCCUUUGUUCAGAAUCAAUCAUUUUUCCCCCUCGAUACUUCCUUUGAUAUUCCCUUUUUCUAGCUGCUGCCACAGUAAUUGGAAUUUUCUUGAAUGUGUACUUUAUUUAAAAUCUUUUGGUUAUAGGUGGUCCAUUUGGGGGCCAGCAGUAGUUCACAAGCCCACAGCCCCCUGCCAUGUGCCCCAGGCUCUCAGUCCCUCUAGUCUCACUUCUAUCCCCUCCCUUCACCAAAGUCAAUUUCCUAAAAGGUUCCUAGACCUCUUUCUUCCCAUCAAGUAACUUUUCUUCCCUUUUCUUGAAUUUUUCUAUUUUCAUUUGCCUAUCAUUUCCUUUUAACCAUAUCA
rnacentral:lncRNA from 1 species